CCCUGGUUAGCUGAGUAGGUAAAGCGUUCCACUGGAAAUGGAGAGGUUCCUGGUUCGAUACCCGGACCAGUAA
rnacentral:tRNA from 1 species